rnacentral:rRNA from 1 species
UGAACGCUGGCGGCGUGCCUACUACAUGCACGUCGAACGCCUAGCGAAAGGUGCUUGCACCUUUCAAGUGAGUGGCGAACGGGUGAGUAACACGUGGACAACCUGCCUCAAGGCUGGGGAUAACAUUUGGAAACAGAUGCUAAUACCGAAUAAAACUUAGUGUCGCAUGACACAAAGUUAAAAGGCGCUUCGGCGUCACCUAGAGAUGGAUCCGCGGUGCAUUAGUUAGUUGGUGGGGUAAAGGCCUACCAAGACAAUGAUGCAUAGCCGAGUUGAGAGACUGAUCGGCCACAUUGGGACUGAGACACGGCCCAAACUCCUACGGGAGGCUGCAGUAGGGAAUCUUCCACAAUGGGCGAAAGCCUGAUGGAGCAACGCCGCGUGUGUGAUGAAGGCUUUCGGGUCGUAAAGCACUGUUGUAUGGGAAGAACAGCUAGAAUAGGAAAUGAUUUUAGUUUGACGGUACCAUACCAGAAAGGGACGGCUAAAUACGUG